rnacentral:rRNA from 1 species
AUUGAACGCUGGCGGCAUGCUUUACACAUGCAAGUCGAACGGCAGCGCGGGCUUCGGCCUGGCGGCGAGUGGCGAACGGGUGAGUAAUGCAUCGGAACGUGCCCAGUAGUGGGGGAUAGCCCGGCGAAAGCCGGAUUAAUACCGCAUACGACCUGAGUGUGAAAGCGGGGGACCGAAAGGCCUCGGGCUAUUGGCGCGGCCAAGGUCGGGUUAGCCAGUUGGUGGGGUAAAGGCUUACCAAGGCGCCGAUCCGUAGCUGGUCUGAGAGGACGACCAGCAACACUGGGACUGGGACACGGCCCAGACUCCUACGAGAGGAAGCAGUGGGGAAUUUUGGACAAUGGGGGCAACCCUGAUCCAGCCAUGCGGCGUGCGGGAAGAAGGCCUUCGGGUUGUAAACCGCUUUUGUUCGGGAAGAAAUCCUCUGGGCUAAUACCCCGGGGGCAUGACGGUACCGGAAGAAUAAGCACCGGCUAACUACGUG